rnacentral:rRNA from 2 species
ACGGGAGGCAGCAGUAGGGAAUCUUCCACAAUGGGCGAAAGCCUGAUGGAGCAAUGCCGCGUGAGUGAAGAAGGUUUUCGGAUCGUAAAACUCUGUUGUUGAAGAAGAACAUGCGUGAGAGUAACUGUUCACGUACUGACGGUAUUCAACCAGAAAGCCACGGCUAACUACGUGCCAGCAGCCGCGGUAAUACGUAGGUGGCAAGCGUUGUCCGGAUUUAUUGGGCGUAAAGAGAAUGUAGGCGGUUUAUUAAGUUUGAAGUGAAAGCCCUCGGCUCAACCGAGGAAGUGCUUCGAAAACUGGUAAACUUGAGUGCAGAAGAGGAAAGUGGAACUCCAUGUGUAGCGGUGGAAUGCGUAGAUAUAUGGAAGAACACCAGUGGCGAAGGCGGCUUUCUGGUCUGUAACUGACGCUGAGAUUCGAAAGCAUGGGUAGCAAACAGGAUUAGAUACCCUGGUAGUCCAUGCCGUAAACGAUGAGUGCUAAGUGUUGGAGGGUUUCCGCCCUUCAGUGCUGCAGCUAACGCAUUAAGCACUCCGCCUGGGGAGUACGACCGCAAGGUUGAAACUCAAAGGAAUUGACGGGGGCCCGCACAAGCGGUGGAGCAUGUGGUUUAAUUCGAAGCAACGCGAAGAACCUUACCAGGUCUUGACAUACCAUGAAAAGCUAAGAGAUUAGUCUUUCCCUUCGGGGACAUGGAUACAGGUGGUGCAUGGUUGUCGUCAGCUCGUGUCGUGAGAUGUUGGGUUAAGUCCCGCAACGAGCGCAACCCUUAUUAUCAGUUGCCAGCAUUCAGUUGGGCACUCUGGUGAGACUGCCGGUGACAAACCGGAGGAAGGUGGGGACGACGUCAAAUCAUCAUGCCCCUUAUGACCUGGGCUACACACGUGCUACAAUGGUCGGUACAACGUGUUGCGAACUCGCGAGGGCAAGCAAAUCACUUAAAACCGAUCUCAGUUCGGAUUGCAGGCUGCAACUCGCCUGCAUGAAGCUGGAAUCGCUAGUAAUCGCGGAUCAGCAUGCCGCGGUGAAUACGUUCCCGGGCCUUGUACACACCGCCCGUCACACCAUGAGAGUUUGUAACACCCAAAGUCGGUGGGGUAACCCUUCGGGG